rnacentral:rRNA from 1 species
UACGUAGGGGGCAAGCGUUAUCCGGAAUUAUUGGGCGUAAAGAGUACGUAGGUGGCAACCUAAGCGCAGGGUUUAAGGCAAUGGCUCAACCAUUGUUCGCCCUGCGAACUGGGAUGCUUGAGUGCAGGAGAGGAAAGCGGAAUUCCUAGUGUAGCGGUGAAAUGCGUAGAUAUUAGGAGGAACACCAGUGGCGAAGGCGGCUUUCUGGACUGUAACUGACACUGAGAUACGAAAGCGUGGGGAGCAAACAGG